UGUGAUUGACUUGGAGUUACAUUGUGUUGUUUAAGUGUUCCCUUUAUUUUUUUGAGCAGUGUGUAUAUAAAAAUAAAUAAAUAAAUAAAUAAAAGUAUUAGCUAGUUGUUCCACGACUUAUUGGGUAAGUUUGUGUCCCUGUUUAUGUCUUUCGGAGAUUUUUUAUUUUUAAAUUUAACUAGGCAAGUCAGUUAAGAACAAAUUCAUAAUUCCAAUGACGGCCAAACCCGGACGACGCUGGGCCAAUCGUGCGCCGCCCUAUGGCCAGAUGUGAUGCAGCCUGGAUUCGAACCAGGUACUACAGUGACGCCUCUUGCACUGAGAUACAGUGUCUUAGAUUCCUGCACCACUCGGGAGCCCAAGACUUACCAUCAUGCCCAUUCAAUGUACAUUUCAACUAUUCUGGGUAGCCCUACUUGAUUGUGCCUUUUGAUUCCUUUCUACUCUGAUUUCAUCCCUGUGCUGUUUUUACAAUAUAUUAUUUAAUUGGCCCAAUAUAUUCCAGUCUGGCCGUGGUUUAUCUAUGUAAUUACAUUGUAUGUACAUUGAUGGGCUGUACUGUAUCAUAUACUAUGAUUCUGUACUAUUGUCUCCUGAACCAAUCUACCAUUGUGUACCAUCACCAAUUCAGACUGGUUUUCUGGUCAGAACAACAUUGGUGCAUUAUACUAUGAUUCUGGACUGAUGUCAUUCAUUUAUUGAGCGAGUUAUCUAAAGCACACAACUGCUACUCAACCAAACAACAGGGGCUGUGAUGCAGCACUGUGAUGCACAACUGAGUUGAGUGAACCUUUUUCACUUUUACUGCUCACUUUUUCAGAGAAAGGCUCAAACACAGAGAUAGCUUUUUGUGUUUUAUUUAACUAGGCAAGUCAGAUUAGAACAAAUUCUUACUUAAAAUGACAGCCUAGGAACAGUGGGCUAAUUGCCUUGUUCAGUGGCAGAACAACAGAUUUUUACCUUGACAGCUCAGGGAUUUGAUCCAGCAACCUUUCAGGUACCUGCCAAAUGCGCUAACCACUGGGCUACCGGCCGCCUGCAGUUUCUAUGUUUUACACGGACAGUUUAAAUAAUUAACCUGGAAUGCUGCAGUACUGCUUAUCUCUAAUAACUAAUGUCUUGCCAGUCAUGUAGUGUGUUUUAUGUUUGUCCUAGAUGUACUGUAAAAGGCCCGGACCCUCCCUGUGCUGUGUAAAUACACAGGUUGGCAUUUUUUGGGAUGACAUGUACUGGAGGCAGCUCUGCAGGGUAGUCACUAGCUGGCACAGCCACAAUGUUAUAAAAUCAGAUUUUAAACCUAACCUUAACCAAACUGCUAACCUUAUGCUUAACCUUAACUUAAGACCAAAAAGUGUAUUUUUGUUUUCAGUAAUUCUUUACAAUGUAUAGCUAAUUUUGACUUUGUUGCUGGCCCAUUAGUAGAAAUCGCUCAGCUCUGCCUCCAGGACAAGAUACAUCCCAAUAAACGUAAACUUCCUGCGCGCAUGUGACCUAAUAGUCAGUAGACUUCUCUUCCACCAGAGAUAAAGGCACUGACUUUGCUCCAUCCUCAUGGGGCUCGGGAUCAGCAAGCUGCACCAGGGAGGCUCUACUCCAACUACCAGCGACAGCAUGGAGAACAUAUUCCUGCUCCAGGCCUCUGUGCUGCUUAAGGCCCUCUCUGUGACCUCGUGUGCAUCACAGCCCUCCUCCUGCCAGUCUCUCCAGCCCUCCAGGCUAACAUCAACCACAUCCUCCCUCUCCCCCACCGCCUCCUCCUCCCUCACCUCUCCACUCCUAAGCACAGAGAACCAAGUCUUAAAGAGGGGUUCACUCCUCUUCACUCAUUCCUCCUCCCUUCCCUCUCCCCUCUCGGCCCUUUGUCCUCUUCAUCCCUGCCACCCUCUAGUGGUGUCCUGCCUCCUACUGGCCUUCCUCCUCCUCCUGUUCUGGAUGAAUAAUGGGAGGAUGAGGAAGGCAGUCUGCCUGUAAGGACGUGCUGUCUUACUCUGAAGAGAUUUGUGUGGUGCCCCAUAAGCCCAUCCCUUUCUUUCAGUCUGUUUUUUGUGGUGUAGUUUGUCCAAGGUCCAUUCCAAUACAGUCAAUCUUUGAAAUAAAAUACAUUUGUGAUGCUCAUUUUAUUGGUUAAGUGAUUCUGAGUCAAUAUGUUUCUCUGACAAUGUAAGUUAAUGGCAGUAUACAGAAUGUGUUCUCCUUCUUCCUCAUGACAUGUCAGGAUUCUGACCAGGACAGCCUCAUGGCUGAGGAGAUUGAGGUGUCCACAGAGAUGCAUGUUCUGGACAUGCUAUUGGAUGAAGAGGAGCUGGACCAAAACAUGUCAAUUGGGGAACAGGAGUUUGGUGAGAGAGAGGGGAAAAGAUGAACUGAAAGACAAAAAGUACAUGAUAAGGCUCUGCCAGAUGGCCUGACUGUAAAUGGAGCAAGGCUUCUGUUUGGCCGAGCCCCGAAACAGAAUGACACUGGAGUUUAUGAAUGUGUUGCGAACAAUGGCGUUGGGACAAGGAAAGUAGAACAUAACAUCACAGUUACAGGUAAGGGGCAAUGGGCAACGUUACUCCUGUAUUUUGCUGAGAUCUGAACAGAAAAACAUGACACUGGUCACAUGCCUUAUUAUUUAUUUUACUGCUGCUCUUUAAUUAUUUGUUACUUCUUUUAUUUAUUUUUGUUAUUUUUCUUAACCCCAUUGUUGGUUAAGGGCUUGUAAGUAAACGUUUCACUGUUGUAUUGGUGCAUGUGAUCAUUAUUAAUUUUUUUAUUAGAUGCCUGAUUAGUAAUAUUGUAACAUUGCUGCCCCCUUGUGAUAAUAAUCUGAAAUACAGAUCUCACUAAAGUUGCAACAAAACUGCAUCCUAUAUACAUGGCACUGCAAUCGCUACCUUUGGUUGUUUGUGUUUACAAUUUUGUGUGCAUUCCCUCUUUCCUUCCCACUCUCUCACUCAGACAUCUCGGAGUGUGCAGGAAGUGAUCUUUGACACUCUAGUGAUGAUCAUUAUAGGUGUGGUUGCUGGGGUGUUGGUCAUGGUCAUUAUCAUCUUUAUCAACUAAUACCAUAGACGCAAUAACAGGACAUUAGAGAUGGAGUUUAUUUCCACAAUACUUGGAACCCCCUUUCCCUAUCCUUAAAUCCUCCUUAGUUUCUAGAAAUCAACACUCUCCAGACAGGCCUCCUCCACAAGACUCAACUCUGUCAGCACAGACCCCAGACGACAGACUGCACAUUACUCAGACUAGACAGUAGAAUGAAAAAAAGCCUAAUGUCCCUUGAGGACCAUCCCAUCUACAAAGCCGUCAAUCCACACUCGGUGGGAGGUGGGGGACGGUUCGAGAGGGUGAUUUGGACUACCUGGGCUGCCCUGUCCUGUACCAGUCUAGCUGGCGACUCUGGCCUUCCUUCCUCGUCCCCAGGACCAGGACGGUAGUGUGUGGCCCACAGACAUCCCCCCCAAUGCUCAGCGACCUGGGUGGCCAGAGGGAGGGUGUGACCGAAGGGGACGACUGGGGCCAGACAGGACGUGCUGGAGGUUGAUGAGGCUGACUGUGACACCAGUUCUUACAAGAUCUCAGAGGCACUCUCCAACCACUUCCACUACAGCAACGGGUUCCUGCGGCCCAAACCACACUCCAAUGCCAUCCUCCUACACCCCAGAGGACAGAACAUCUAGACAGGGGUGAAAGGAGUUGGUUGAAAAGGGAACUGCCCUCAGCUCCACCCUAACCCAAUGGUCAUGGAGGCCUGCUACUCACUCCUGUGAACUGAACUUGGAUACAAUUGGACUGAAGUGAGUGUUUGGCAACCUCAUGUUCACAUUCAUUUACAUUUUUAGGUUGACUUUGUCCUUUUUUUACAUCAGCAUGGGCUUCUUGUAUACAGUGCCUUCAGAAAGUAUUCACACCCCUUGAUUUGUGGUGUUACAGCGUUAUUACAAAUUGAUUAAAUGUAGAUUUUUUUGGUCACUGGCCUACAGACAAUAUCCCAUGUCAAAGUAGAAUUAUGUUUUUUGAUAAAAAAACAUUUUAUAAUGAAAAGCUUAAAUGUCUUGAGUGAAAAAGUUUUCAACCCCUUGGUAUGGCGAGCCUAAAUAAGUUCAGGACAAAAAAUCUGCUUAACAAGUCACAUACGUUGCAUGGACUCUGUGUGUAACACUGUGGUUUUUGAAUGACUACCUCAUGCCUGUACCCCACACAAUUAUAUGUAAGGUGCCUCAGUCGAGCAGUGAAUUUCAAACACAGAUUCAACCACAAAUACCAGGGAGAUUUCCGAAUGCCUCUCAAAGAAGGGCAUAAAUAUAAAAUAUUUUGUCUUGUUCAUUCACCCUCUAAAUAGGGUCACCCUCUCAAGGCUUUAAAAUCCUUCUUUAGCCUGUCUCUUUAACAACUGACAUCAAUAAGGGAUCAUAGCUUUCAUCUGUAUUCACCUGGUCAGUCUGUCAUGUUCUAUAGUUGCCAUGGUUCCCUAGCUUCACCAUUCCAGGUGAAGCUGGUUGAGAGAAUGCCAAGAGUGUGCAAAGCUGUCAAGGCAAAGGGUGGCUAAUUUGAUGAAUCUCAAAUAUAAAACAUUUGGAUUUAACACUUUUUUGGUUACUGAUUCCAUAUGUGUUAUUUCAUAGUUUUGAUGUUUCAUUAUUAUUCUACAAUGUAGAAAAUAGUAAACCCUGGAAUGAGUAGGCGUGUCCAAACUUUUGACUGGUACUGUAUAUCUAGUGUUUUAGAGCCACGAAUUUGCAGAUUUACUGAGAGGUUAACCGUCUUUGGCUUGGCUAACUAGCUAGCUGGCUAAUAUUUUUGUUUGAAAAAUGCAUCUGGACACAUUACCAGCUUUUUUCUUUCUCCUGGCUGCCAAUUCCCGAUCUUCUGAGAACAAUUUUUAGGAGUCGCCUGAAGCGUGAGAGGAAUGGGAUAUGCAGGAAUAUAGUAGUGCUAAGACAGAGCGCUCGUAGUGAGGACGACUGGCUACUAUUCUGAACUUUGUGUGGUGAACUUUCUGGUGUCCAGAGCUGCUGAGGCAUCACCCAAGUGGGUGCUACACAGACUGGAAGAGAAGAAGACCAGUGGAUAUAAGAGUCUGGCUGGUUCCCAGACGUGCCCUCUACAAGAUCAUCAACAGACUCCAUCACCAUCCUCUGACCAGCUCUCUCCGCUCAAGCCAUGAACUGACCCUCUCCAUCUUCAGAGGAUGCAGCUUUCAAAGACUUGGCCUCUAUUGGUUCACUUGUCAUGAUAUAUUGCGUGGUUUUUUUGUUGCUCUUGAAGCACAGAGAUUCUAUGAAAAGCGCUAUAGAAAUGUUAUAAAUUAUUAUUAUGGAAAGAGCAGGUGUUAAUGUUCUGUAUUCUCAGUGUAUUUCAACAACAACAACAAGGGCUGAAAGUUCAGAGAAUUUUCAUGUUUAUUCAUAAUAAUGUAUGCAUUGAUAAAAGCACGUCCAUUGUAUUUUC